CAGCGAUGCGUAACUGCCAAAUAACAUGUUUUUCGCUUACCCCUUCUCUCGGUCGGCGGAUGCGAUACGGUCGGAGGUAGAUACGGGAAUUAUACCGGGAGGGUCGCUAGAUACUUAAUUGCUUUGUAUAAUUGAACAAAUAUAGUGGACGUCGAGCGGUCAUUACGUAAUUAAUGUUAUGACAAUAGCUGUACGCGAAUGGAACGUACGCGGAUAGUUACGAGUUAUUAUCUUCGAGUUGCGCCACUCGGUUCACGUAUAAUAUGCCUAGGCAAUACUUUGCGUAUAGAUUUCUUUCCGUCCGUCGCGACAGACAAAAAAGAUCAAUGAAUGCGUGUUGUAAAAUCUCGAAGAAACAGUCGAAAAGAUACAAUAAUGUCAAGGAAUUAACGCGCGGUUGCGAUCAUAGGUAUGAGAAGUUUGUGCGAAAAUUUCAAGUUCGCGUCGUUGGUGUCGCAAUCAACCGAUUGCCCAACGUAAUUCAAACUCGAGGUAAACAAAGAGCUCGAAGAACAACAACCGUCACUUUUUGCCAACGAUCGCACCGAUUACACGAGCGACACGCGAUAGGAAAACACGCGGAGGAUCGGGUGACGGGAAAACAAGGAAUAAAACCACCGAGCAAAACAUACUCUCGCAUCGUAUACUUACAAUCAGUUCUGUGCUCGUACGAAUCGUCUACGUUGUGCGAACGGCGAUUGACGAGGUGAAAUGGAAGUUGGAAAACGCGUGGACGAAUACCAGAUUCUCGCCAUACUGAGAUCUUUAAGAUGACACAAUAAUUAUAAACGAAGAAGCACCCGGCGUGAGC
rnacentral:lncRNA from 1 species